GACGUAGGGCGCGAGCGUUGUCCGGAUUUAUUGGGCGUAAAGAGCUCGUAGGCGGUCUGUCGCGUCGGCUGUGAAAACUCGGGGCUCAACUCCGAGCUUGCAGUCGAUACGGGCAGGCUAGAGUUCGGCAGGGGAGACUGGAAUUCCUGGUGUAGCGGUGAAAUGCGCAGAUAUCAGGAGGAACACCGGUGGCGAAGGCGGGUCUCUGGGCCGAUACUGACGCUGAGGAGCGAAAGCGUGGGGAGCAAACAGG
rnacentral:rRNA from 1 species